CACAGUUGGAGCACAUUCAUGAUUCACCUCAGCAGUAUAUCAACUCGGGCUGUUCACCUCAGCACCAGAUCGUUACAACUACUCAUGUGAUUCCGCUCUGAACCCUCUGUUUACCUGCUGCUUACCUGCUUUGCUGCCUCUCCGCUGAGACCUGCUGGGCCGUUGCUCUGAUGUAUCUGCUGGGCUACCAAUCUCCACGCUGAACUGCUCUCAUCUCUCUCAACUGGAUUCCUCGGUGAGUCAAGACUGGACUCUCUCAGCCUGCUUCGAAUCUCAGUCCUGCUCUGGAUUCUCCACUGCCUGCCCGCCUCGUGCUACAUUCUGCCCAGACUCUGUCCUCACUGCACAUUCAAGACAGACUAUUCAAUAAAACUCUUUAAACUGUUA